rnacentral:ncRNA from 1 species
CAAAACCGUAUGCUUUGGAAGAAGCUUGUACAGUUUGGGAAGGGGUUUUUUGAGAGAAAAGAAGAAUCUACUUCAAC